UCCGAUGUGUCUCUGAACCUAUCGCAGGUUUUUUUUCCACAAAAGGAAAAUUACGUUGAAUAGGCGUUUCCAUGAGGUACGUGGCCCCACGUUUGCUUUGUGACCUGGAUUGUCGGUUAAAUACAUUCUUCCAACUUAACUUAUGGACCGGUAAAUACACUACAAGUUUUAACAUAGCCUUUACCCAUUCUUCAAAAAAAAUAAUAACCCCGGCGAAGAUUACUUGCUCUACAAAUCUGCGAUAUGUCUAAACAAACAAACCUAACAAACCUUGAACAUUUAUCUCUACGUUUUCGAUCACUGACGAUUGUAGAAUCGCCCCCAUCUGUCAAGUCCUGUCAUCUGUCGAGUAAAAUAAACCUGUGUAUUGAGAAAAGCCACUUCUAAGUUUGCUCAGAAUACCUACAAAUAAAUAUCUGCUCCGAUGUGUCUUGCAAAAACCCUUUCUGCAGUUUUCCAGUUACAACUAUGCAGUGUGGAAGUUUUGUGUUUUACAAGAAUCCACCACUACAUUACCUACACUUCUACCGAGGAACCCGGGAAGCCACCAGUUAAAGUUAUUAAAGGACAAGUGAUUUUUGCGAGUGCAGGUUAUAAAAUUGUGAAAUGUUCCUUGAUGUGAAAGGUUUCAUUGAUACGGGACCUGUCUCAAAAACUUAGUCUUUUUUUGUUAAGUUGUUUAUUUUUCACAGCAGGGAUAUGCGAUUAUUAUUUAACCAUUCUCGCCUUCCAUGUAGUAGCUUCAGCUGCACUAAUUCUAAGAAAACUAUGGCAAAUAAAGUUAUUUCAAACUACAUUACAUUAAUUUCAUUUUAUAAAAAAAUUUGUUCACUUGGGUACAUAACGUAAAACAAGUUAAAAGGUUAUUAAAACAAAUUGAGAAAAUACCUGCUUUUGAAAAUUCCUCAAUAAAUUUUGGGCCCCCAGGAAGCCACCAGUUAAAGUGAUUACAAGAGCAAGUGAUUUUUGCGAGUGCAGGUUAUAAAAUUGUGACUGUUCCCUGAGGUCAAAGAUUUCAUUGAUACAGGACCUGUCUCAAAAGCUUAGUCUUUUUUUUGUUCAAGUUGUUUAUUUUUCACGACAGGGAUAUGUGAUUAUUAUUUAACCAUUCUCGCCUUCUAUUUAGUAGCUUCAACUACACUAAUUCUAAAAAAACUGGCAAAUAAAGUUAUUUCAAACUA